GAUGAACGCUGGCGGCGUGCUUAACACAUGCAAGUCGAACGAUGAUGCCCAGCUUGCUGGGUGGAUUAGUGGCGAACGGGUGAGUAACACGUGAGUAACCUGCCCUUGACUCUGGGAUAAGCCUGGGAAACUGGGUCUAAUACCGGAUACGACCAUCUGGCGCAUGUCAUGGUGGUGGAAAGCUUUUGUGGUUUUGGAUGGACUCGCGGCCUAUCAGCUUGUCGGUGGGGUAAUGGCCUACCAAGGCGACGACGGGUAGCCGGCCUGAGAGGGUGACCGGCCACACUGGGACUGAGACACGGCCCAGACUCCUACGGGAGGCAGCAGUGGGGAAUAUUGCACAAUGGGCGCAAGCCUGAUGCAGCGACGCCGCGUGAGGGAUGACGGCCUUCGGGUUGUAAACCUCUUUCAGUAGGGAAGAAGCGAAAGUGACGGUACCUGCAGAAGAAGCGCCGGCUAACUACGUG
rnacentral:rRNA from 1 species